rnacentral:snRNA from 1 species
AGCUUUGCGCGGUGGCAGUAUCGUAGCCAAUGAGGUUUAUCCAAAGUACGAUUAUUGCCAAUUGAAAGGUUUUUCUUUGAAAAAUUUCUGGUAUAAUGAAGCUUU